GCACUGAAGCUGAGAUUUGGAGAACAGUAGCAACAGAACAUCUCUGCGAUAUGUCGCAGCCGACUGUCAACCAGAGUAUUUAACCAUAAGCGCAGAAAUUGUAUGAAUCGGAAGCUUGUUUUGGAAAGACCCGUGUUUAAAGUAGACGACUUGGAUGAUGUGGACCGCCCACACUUUGACAGAAGCGGAUGCGUGAGCACAGCAACAUAUACCGCAUAUUUAUAUCAAGAAUACUCACUGUUUGAACGAUGUUUACGCUGGGACUAUCAAAGUUUUUGAUUUUAAUGUUAGUGGUUAGUAGUUUGGCACAAGAUUAUUACGAACUUCUAGGUGUAACAAAAAGCGCAAAUGACAAAGAAAUAAGAAAAGCCUUUAAAAAACUAGCUGUAAAAAUGCACCCCGAUAAAAACAAGGGGGAUCCAGAUGCUCAUGCGAAUUUUGUGAAACUCACAAAAGCAUAUGAAGUUCUAAAAGACCAGGAGUCCCGAAAGAAAUACGAUCUGUUUGGAGAAGAUGGUGUAAAAACAACCGGACAGCAAACAUAUCACUCCUGGAGUUAUUACCGGGAUAAUUUUGGCAUAUAUGACGACGACCCCCAGAUUAUAACACUGAACGGUGCCGAUUUCGAGGAAAGUGUUCUUGGGUCAGAUGCUCUCUGGUUCAUAAACUUCUACUCUCCGAUGUGCUCCCAUUGUCAUACUUUGGCUCCUGUGUGGCGUCGGCUGGCACAAGAACUUGAGGGUGUUGUUCGGUUUGGUGCUGUCAACUGUGAAGAGGAAUGGGUUCUUUGUCGUCAAGAACAGAUUCAUUCAUAUCCUUCACUGUUCCUGUACCCAAUGAGAGAAAGAUAUGUUGGUGAUCGUGAGAUGCCACAACUAAAAGAGUUUAUACUGAAGAGACUGCAAGUCGAAAUUAUUAAGAUUGAUGGUGAUACUUGGAAGAUUUUGUCAAAUCCAGAUGACCAGUACCAGGGCAUUCCGUGGGUUCUAUUCUUGCUUGAUGGAACAUCAGACAUUGAACAAGAGGAAGUAAGGCUCAUAGUAGCUGCCAUGUUGGAAGGCUUGGCUCUUGUUGGAGAGGUGAACUGUGUGGUGAGUCAUGCAUUGUGCCAGGAAGUUUCUGGUGGCCGAACACAUCCUAUUGGCUUAAUUAUCUUUUGGAAGAACAAAGACUCAUUGUACCCGCUUGACACAGUGACUUCAGCAAAAGAUAUUACUGAACAGGUGCUUUCAUUUCUCCCACAUGCCACAGAAUUUGAUGCUGAGACAUUUGAGGAUAUGCGUACGCAACUCCGUUUAGAUCCAGAGGCACCAUUCUGGUUGGUACACUUUUAUGCAGGGGUCGAAGAUGUAAAGCAGUCAUUAGACUUGAAAAGAUUGCCCGCGCUUGUUGGGGACAUAAAACUUGGCAGGUUCCACUGUGGAAGGGCUGUAGACGCUUGCCGUGCACUACCAGUGUCUCGAUAUCCACUGUUUGCACUGUUCAAGCCUGGCGGUGGUCAUGAAGUGCAUCAUGGUCGUGAGACAGCAUACGAUAUAGCAACAUUUGCCAGACACAGUCGUGCAGCUCCCUACAUGCGAUCGAUAACGCCCGAAGAGUUCCUUCAGCAGACUCAAGAAGGUGGUUCCUUUUUUGUCGACUUCUUUGCACCAUGGUGUCCACCUUGCUUACGCUUGCUGCCAGAGCUCCGAAAGGCUAGUGGUACAUUGGGUGGCAGUGUAACUUUUGCAACUCUGGAUUGCUCUCAGCACGCAGCUUUUUGCCGUCAACAGUCCGUACGCUCCUAUCCGACUACAGUGUUGUACAACCAUACUGGCACGCAUCCACAUUUCUUCCAUGGGAGGACAGCAAGUGAUCUGGUUGACUUCAUAAGAGAUGUGCUGCAUCCAGUAGUUGUGGAACUGACAGAGAAGAACUUUGAGUCUACAGUUGCCAGUAAACCAGUCGACCAUAUGUGGCUUGUUGACUAUUUUGCUCCAUGGUGUGGUCCUUGCCAGCAACUUUCUCCCCAAUGGAGAAAGCUCGCCAAGCUUUUGUCUGACCAACGAAACAUUCAUAUUGGAGAAGUCAACUGUGAGCGUGAGCCAUCAUUGUGUGUGCAACAGGGUGUCAGAACUUAUCCAACAAUUAGAUUAUACCCUUUUGGUAGUGUUGGACUUGCCACAUUUGCGAUGUAUUCAGGAUAUCAUCGUGAUGCACGUUCCUUGCGACAGUGGGUAUACAACUUUUUGCCAUCUUCUGUGGAAUCACUAACCCCCGGCUUGUUUGAGGCCAGAGUUCUCAGAGACACAGGUGAAAUGUGGCUUGUCGAUUUCUAUGCUCCAUGGUGUGGCCAUUGUGUCAGCUUUUCGCCAGAAUUCCAGUUAGUUGCACAGAAACUCGAAGGGCGUGUGCGAUGUGCAAAAGUCGAUUGCGAAAAAUAUCGCAACCUUUGUGUGCAGCAGCAAGUGAAUGCAUAUCCUACAGUGAUAUUCUACCCGGGCAGACGUGAAAUUUCCAGCCAGUCAGCAGAGCAGAUAAUUCGUCGUGUUGAGGAGUUCAUUGCAGACUUGCAAAGAGAUGAUAAAUAUAAUAGACAUGAUGAAUUUUAAACUUAGCAAAAAGUAACAAUUAACAUAAUACAUAAAAAGAAAGGCCCAAAAGUAAGGCAGAUGCACUGCAUUCAGCAACUGUUCCAACCAUCUUGGCUUGAUGUUACCAUAUAAGCUUUCCAGUAUUGUGGCACAACACAGUAAUGAAGACACAAACGCUGUUUACUACAGUGUUCAAGUAUACUAUGUAUCAUACUUUUGUAUGAACGUGUUAUGUCAUCAGCUUGCUAUAGGCAGAAAAAGAAUCUAAUGUGAUUGAAUUAUUAUUAUUAUUAUUAUUAUUAUUAUUAUUAUUAGAUCUUUGAUACUGAGAUCUGCAGUCUGUGAUACUAUUACUCAUAUUGCAACAAACUAUUUUGUACAUUAGUGUUACUAUGGUAAUUAACAGAGUAAGUGGUUUCAAGGUGUUGUACUUCACACUGUACAUCACAUACUAGUUUUCAUGCUUAAUAAUAAGCUUUUUCAAGAACCACAAAGUUGCUGUAAAGUUAAUAUAAUAGAUUCCCUGAAAUGCAAACAUGUGAUAUUCUGUGUUGAUUACAGUUCCUUAAGAGUGAUUCUUGUCUUUUCUGUACUAAUUUUUGUGAAAAUUUUUAUAAGUAUCACACAAGUUUUAUCUGAAUAUUAUUUAUACUUGUUUGCUGUGUUUCCAUUAUUUCACCAGACAGAGGGAACAGAUUUCAGUAGUUUAAUUUCCAAAAAAUAGGUAUAUGGAGGGUGAUGUACUUUACUACAUUUUCAUUCAGUACAGCAUUCAAUGAUCUGCUGCUCAUUCUGUUAGCAGUUGUAAUAUUUUUUUGUCGAAUAUUCCAUUAUUUAUAAAGCAGAGACAACCUGUGUAGUGAAAUUAGCAAUUGUUUAGUGAAAUUAGCAAUUUUACCCGUACCUACAGAAUGUAUUCACCAUAUCAAAUUUUUGGGAGUUAGUUUAUCAUUAUUUUACUGAUAUUGGAUUUAAAUGUAAUUUCACAGGUAUAACAGAAGUAUUAUUGUGUGUGAAUCUCAUUCCCUAUGUUUUGUGGUAUAACUCUGUUAACCUGUUGCUGUCUAGUUGGUGCCAUGGUUGAAAAAAUGGCAGUCACUAUUCUGUGUCAUUGAAAUAAUCAUUCUUUGUGAUUUGGGCUCUGGAAAUAUUUCAUAUUUCUCAUAGCUCUCACCUACUGGGCUUCCAAGCUUUUCUGGAUGAAAACUGAUAUUGUCAUUUAGAGUUUGAAUGUGAUAAAAAUACACAUUCUCACUACUAUAAACAAUAUCCAGCUGAAGUAAAGCUCUUCAUUGAGUUUUUCUGGCAUGUUCUUGAACUUUUCCUUCGUCUGUUUAAGAAAUUGAUAAAAUUAGGCAUGUCAAGUCAUUACCACCAUUAGUUGAAUUUCCACUAUUGUUUAGGACACACAAUUUUUCAUUUAAUCAUUCACACUUCAUAUUUCGUAAAGACCAUCAUGAAGGAGAGCCCUUGGGAGUAUUUAAUACAUUAAGUUUUAUUAGUGUAUUCCCUCAUGUGUCUUAACAUUAUUUCCGAAUCGAACCUGAAGUGACAAAAAAUAUGAAGUUAAACAUCUUUGAAAAAAAUAAUGAAUGUUUAUCUAGGGAAAAACAAGAAAAAAUCCUGUAACUUAAUAAUUUCUCAUUUGUCGUCAAGAAAAAUAUUUAAAUUUAAUUUCGCUGACCAUUUAGCAAGUUAUGAGACUAAAUUGGUAAUAUGAAUUAAUCUUUUAAGAAUCCAAUAAUGAAUGUUGUUUUGAAAUGUCUGUAUAAUUGUAUUUGAAAUUACACUAUUGUACAUUAGAUAUUUCAAUAUUUGUUGUAUUUAAGCCAUUGAAUAAUUAUUGUGGCAAGGAAAUCUCAAAUUCUAAAAUAGCUCUCUAUCUAUUUCACAUAAGUUGUAAAGUGUUUCACACUUUCAAGUCAAUCUGUAAAAACUGAUUAAUCAGUAUUGCUUUGUAUUUCAUUAUACAAAAUAGCCAUUACAGUUCAUUGCCAAACUGAGAUCUGCUGUGAGGAAUAUUAGAGGGACAUAUAAUACUUCCAGGAGUUGUUUCCAUAUCAUCAUGUAUGAUACCACCUGUACAGUAUUGUUCUCACAUACUUAAAAAUUGGACUGUAAUGUCUGAAAAAUUAUUUUAGUAUAAUGAUGAUUUUUAUUGGUCUUUAAUGUUAUAAUUUAUUUUCACAAGGAAAUCAAUUUAAUUCUGCUUAAUAUCGUGGGGCCCGCUCAUUCUUUCCCAUCAUUUUUUCACUAAUAUUCGUGUAGUUGUCUGUGUAAUAGGGACGUAAAGGGAUACAGUUUCCUGUGAUGAGUUGGACAUUCUAUUCAAGACUGAUUAUGCUGCAAAUACAAUUGACUUGGAAGGGCUAUCUUGCCCUCCACUUUGUAUGUAUAGUAUUAUUUGAACAUGUGUUUAAAUUUUGCAGUUGCUGCUAUUUGUUGAAAGGUGGUGAUGGCUUCACUUCAGUGCUCUAGAGCCAUACAGUCCUAAGCACAAAAUAUUUAUGACCUGAUACUAAGGGCCAUUGACCAUACAGGGUGUACUUGAAGCGCACAAAUACAUUUUUUGUGACUGCCAUUUGCUACGUGUCCACAUCUAGUGAGGUCGUGGUAAUACACUAACAACCAGUCUGCCUUGAAAAUGAUGAACAGAGUAAUAAAAUCUGUCUCUAUUCUUUGAGGUGUUUCGACUGUGUACAACUUAUCAUUCAGUCACAACACAUCAACGAAUGAGCUAAGUAUGGAUAUGUACGCUAUUUAUGAAGGAAGCUGUACUUGUAACUGAUCAUUGCAUAGCCAGCCAACUUGUGGAUAUGGUUAAAAAGAUGCAGCAACACAAUACAGCAAUCUUAUUUAGAUCAUAACAUAAAUAAUUUCAGAGUAAAGGAGAUAAUUCACUGAAUAGUAUAAGCAUUGAGUUAUUGACAGGCAUACAAAAAAUAACAAAAACUUUUUCUUUUGUAUGUGCCUGUUAACAACUCAACGCUUUCUUCUAUUAUUAGGUCAGUUGUCCCCUUUACAUCGAAAUUAUUUACAUUCCACCAGUACUUCCUUUAUCAUAUUUAGGUCACAACAAUAAUGUGAGGUAGUGAUAAUGUUGAAAAGUACUGUUGUAAAGAAAUGUUCAUGGAAUUAAUUACUUAAAAGCUAUUAUGAGAUAUGCUAAUCUAUGAUUAAUUCAUGUUUUGUAAGUGCUGUGUACUUUCUGUGUGGUGAACAAAUUUUUUUUUUUGUAUUAGGUUAAUGUUCCUUUGCUAUUUUCCUCUUUGGGAGAGGAAAUGGGUAGAGAUUAUGAAUCUCAUCAUUAAUGGAAGCUGGAACUUUUCAUUCCGAUGCACUUACGUGGAUCGACGGAUUGUAUGUUUAAUGUGCAUAAAGGUACAUUGACACAUUCACAGUUAUGAAUAUUUGUUACAUUUUCCAUAUUGUAACUGUUCCAGUUGUCUGUUCAGUGCAGUAAUAAUUUUCUUAUACGGUCCCAAACAAAUAGAGCUGUAAAAGAAAAUAUGUAUAUAUUUUAAAAACGAAGUAAUAAAUGAUUUUAAGUAUAAA